GUGAGGAAUAUUGCGCAAUGGAGGCAACUCUGACGCAGCCAUGCCGCGUGCAGGAAGAAGGCGCUACGCGUUGUAAACUGCUUUUAACCGGGAAGAAACCCCAGGACGUGUCCUGGGUUGACGGUACCGGGGGAAUAAGCACCGGCUAACUUCGUGCCAGCAGCCGCGGUAAUACGAAGGGUGCAAGCGUUAUCCGGAUUCAUUGGGUUUAAAGGGUGCGUAGGCGGAGCGUUAAGUCAGUGGUGAAAUCCUGCAGCUUAACUGUAGACUUGCAAUUGAUACUGGCGCUCUUGAGUGCGCUUGAAGUGGGCGGAAUGUGCCGUGUAGCGGUGAAAUGCUUAGAUAUGGCACAGAACACCAAUUGCGAAGGCAGCUCACUAAGGCGAUACUGACGCUGAGGCACGAAAGCGUGGGGAUCGAACAGGAUUAGAAACCCUGGUAGUCC
rnacentral:rRNA from 1 species